AAAUAAAUAAAAAAUAAAAAUAAAUAAAUACAUAAGUAAACAAAUGCAGGCUGGGUGAGGUGGCUCAUGCCUGUAUUCCCAGCACUUUGGGAGGCUGAGGCGAGUGGAUCGCCUGAGCCCAGGAGUUCGAGACCAGCCUGGGCAACAUGGCUAAACCCUGUCUCUAAAAAAGAAAAAAAUUUAGUACAGUCUGUGAUGCUCGUGAGUCAUUAUGGUAAAGCUGUUAGUCAAUUUCUCCACUGAUGUAGCAGUUUCCAAUUGUCCUUUAAUCAAAGCAUAAAUGACAAGGUCACCAGUAAGUUUUUGUCUGAGAUUAUCUAAAACUGAGUUUCCCUUCAAUAUUUUCUUGAAAGAGAAUCUAAUUCCCCACCUUUUCUCCCCCCCCCACCUGGGGGCUGCAGGAAGGAUAUGGAGAGAGAUUUGAAGGCUGACUCAAACAUGCCACUCAACAAUUCUAGCCAAGAGGUCACAAAGGAUCUGCUUGAUAUGAUUGACCAGACAAGCAUCCGAACUAUUGAAGAAUUGGCUGGAAAAAUAGAAUUUGAAAAUGAAUUGAACCACGUGUGUGGUCACUGCCAAGAUUCACCCUUCAAAGAGGAAGCCUGGGCCCUGCUCAUGGACAAGAGCCCUCAGAAGGCCACAGAUGCUGACCCUGGCAGCCUCAAACAGGCUUUUGAUGAUCAUAAUAUUGUUGAGACUGUUCUGGACUUGGAAGAGGACUACAAUGUGAUGACCUCUUUUAAAUACCAAAUUGAGUAAGGACAGUUAAUCUAAGCUUUGAUUCCUUACAGCAGGAGGCUGCCCUUGAGCCUGAGCAGAAGCAGCUACAAUGGCCGUCAGGGGCCACAUUUCUCAAAAGGUUGGCAGAACCUGAAUUACCAGACCCUUUUUAAAUCCCAGUUGUGUCCCUUUUUAAGCUGUGAGACCAGUUUUUUGAAUUCCAUUGCUUUGAAAUGUUUCCUAUUACUAAUUUUUUUUUUUUUUUUUUUUUUUUUUACUUUCCUUGACAUCUUGAAUGUGUUUUUUUGAUUGAUGUUCAAUAUACCCAGUACCCAUGGUAGGUAUGGGUCAUGGGCCUCUGCUGUGUCUCUUAGUGUUCUUUUCCAUGGGCCCCUAAAAAAGUACAGGAGUGGCCAGGCACAGUGGCUCACGUCUGUAAUCCCAGCACUUUGGGAGGCCAAGGCAAGUGGAUCACUUGAGGUCAGGAGUUUGAGACCAGCCUGGCCAACAUGGCGAAACCCCAUCUCCACUAAAAAUACAAAAAUUCGCCAGGGGUGGUGGUGUGCACCUGUAGUCCCAGCUGCUUGGGAGGCUGAGGUAGGAGAAUUGCUUGAACCUGGAGGUGGAGGUUGCAAUGAGCCGAGAUGGCACCGCUCCCUUCCAUCCUGAGUGACAGAGCAAGACUCUGUCUCAAAAAAAUAGUAAUUUAGCUGGGCAUGGUGGUUCGUGCAUGUAGUUCCAGCUACUUGGGUGGGGACUGAGGCGAAAAGAUCACUUGAGGCCAGGAGGCGGAGGUUGCAGUGAGCUGAGAUCACGCCACUGCACUCCAGCAUGGGUGACAGAGUGAGACCCUGUCUCAAAAAAAAAGAAGAAAAAAAAAGGGAAGAAAGGAAACUGAAUCUCAGGGAAGUGCCCACCUCCUGAGCGAAUAAGAGGAAGGAAUAUGGGGGUGAGGCAGAGCUGGCAAAAGGCUGUUUUUUGUUUUGAUUGUUUUUAAAGACCAAGUGAAGUAUAGUGUAAGAAGUGGGGAAAGAGUGGAACAAGGAGUUAGAUCUGCAACUGUGAGUAGUCAAUUGAGAUAACUCAAUACCUUUGGACCUGAUUGUUUUUAAAGACUGAGAGUACUAUAAGAAGGGGGGAAAGAGUAGAACAAGGAGUUAGAUCUGAAACUGUGAGUAGUUGAUUGAGAUAACUCACUACCUUUGGACCAGCCAGGGCUGUUUAUAAGUGCUAAAGCCCGAACAAACCAAAGAGUCGGGGAGAGAGGCCUAACUAACAGCUGAGUGAUUGCCCAACAGACUGUCUUUUAGGCCAGUGACUCUGGUAUAGGGCAGGCUGCAUAGCCAGCAACAUCCCUUAGUGAUUCCUCUGGGCUCAAAGGUGGAGGCUACACACCCACACCUUAGCAGAGGUUGGCCUGGCACCUGCUGGUGCCCCAAGAACUAUGGCAUGGUUAGACCCUGGCCACUUGAUUGCAUGUGCCUCCCCAGUGGGCGUGCCCUGGUUCCCAACCAGUUGUGGCCACUGCCACUGCCUUGCCUGGGGCAGGAGUUGAGGUUAAGGCUAACUACAGACUCCUUCCAGGCUGCCUGCCACUCAGACCCUGCAGGAGGUAGCACAAAGCAUUCACAGCCUGUGGAGUCAAGAGGCCGAUUUCUUCUCCCUGAGCAAGAAGAAUGAAAGCAAAUGAAAAGUGCUCACAGUAUGCUCAACUGCCCCUGCUCAGGUGAAGAAUAGCCUGUCUGGAUGGAGAGAUGUCAGGCUACUUGAUACUAAGAAAAACAGGUCUCAAAACAGUGCCUUCCAAAUAAUACAUGUGGAUGUGGACACUCUUCUAUAGACGAGGUGGAGCUUAAUUCCUGUCCUUACCCCCAUAUUCCCACCUCAUUACCACCCUUUGAAGGUGAACGAGACUUAAUGAUUCUUCCUACGACUAAAGUAGGAAAAGGGAAAAGUCACAAACUUAUAGUGGGGAAGCCUGGCAGACACCUAACCAAGUGAUGUCAUUUAUAUGUCAUGAGAGGGGUGCAUCACUUCCCUGGUAUUCCUACCAAAAACCCAAAUUCCCAGUGUAUGAUCAUGAGACAAAUGUUAGACAAAUCCAGACGUGGGGUACAUUCUACAGGAUACCUGGCCAGAACUGAAGACUGUUGAGAUGGCCGGGUGCAGUGGCUCAUGCCUGUAAUCCCCAACACUUUGGGAGGCUGAGGCGGGCAGAUCACUUGAGGUCAGGAGUUCAAGACCAGCAUGGCCAACAUGGUGAAACCCCAUCUCUACUAAAAAUACAAAAAUUAGCCAGGCAUCAUGGCAUGUGCCUUUAGUCAUAGCUACACAGGAGGCUGAGGCAGGAGAAUUGCUUGAACCCAGGAGGUGGAGGUUGCAGUGAGCCAAGAUCGCAUCACUGCACUCCAGCCUGGGCAACAAGCGAGACUCCACCUCAAAAAAAAAAGACUGUUGAGGUCAUGAAAAAUAAGGAAAGACUCAAAAACUAUCAACAGACCACUAAAGACCAAGAAGACACAAUGGCUAAAUGCAACAUGGAAUCCUGGAGUGCAUCCUGGAACAGAAAGAGAACAUUAUUGGAAAAACUGAUAAAACUUGAAUAAAAACUAGUGUUU
rnacentral:sRNA from 1 species